rnacentral:rRNA from 1 species
GACGAACGCUGGCGGCGUGCUUAACACAUGCAAGUCGAACGGUGAAGCGCCUUCCUUUUUGGUGGGUGUGGAUGAGUGGCUAACGGGUGAUUAACACGUGAGUAACCUGCCCCCUUCUUCUGGAUAACCGCAUGAAAGUGUGGCUAAUACGGGAUAUUCUGGGUCUGUCGCAUGAUGGGUCUGGGAAAGAUAUUGUUUCGGUUGGGGAUGGGCUCGCGGCCUAUCAGCUUGUUGGUGGGGUGGUGGCCUACCAAGGCGGUGACGGGUAGCCGGCCUGAGAGGGUGGACGGUCACACUGGGACUGAGACACGGCCCAGACUCCUACGGGAGGCAGCAGUGGGGAAUAUUGCACAAUGGGCGCAAGCCUGAUGCAGCGACGCCGCGUGAGGGAUGGAGGCCUUCGGGUUGUGAACCUCUUUCGCCAGUGAAGCAGGCCUGCCUCGUUUGUGGGUGGGUUGACGGUAGCUGGAUAAGAAGCGCCGGCUAACUACGUG